rnacentral:rRNA from 1 species
GUGCCAGCAGCCGCGGUAAUACGUAGGUCCCGAGCGUUGUCCGGAUUUAUUGGGCGUAAAGCGAGCGCAGGCGGUUAGAUAAGUCUGAAGUUAAAGGCUGUGGCUUAACCAUAGUACGCUUUGGAAACUGUUUAACUUGAGUGCAAGAGGGGAGAGUGGAAUUCCAUGUGUAGCGGUGAAAUGCGUAGAUAUAUGGAGGAACACCGGUGGCGAAAGCGGCUCUCUGGCUUGUAACUGACGCUGAGGCUCGAAAGCGUGGGGAGCAAACAGGAUU